GAGUUUGAUCGUGGCUCAGAUUGAACGCUGGCGGCAUGCCUUACACAUGCAAGUCGAACGGCAGCAUGAUCUAGCUUGCUAGAUUGAUGGCGAGUGGCGAACGGGUGAGUAAUACAUCGGAACGUGCCCUGUAGUGGGGGAUAACUAGUCGAAAGAUUAGCUAAUACCGCAUACGACCUGAGGGUGAAAGUGGGGGACCGCAAGGCCUCAUGCUAUAGGAGCGGCCGAUGUCUGAUUAGCUAGUUGGUGGGGUAAAGGCCCGACCAAGGCGACGAUCAGUAGCUGGUCUGAGAGGACGAUCAGCCACACUGGGACUGAGACACGGCCCAGACUCCUACGGGAGGCAGCAGUGGGGAAUUUUGGACAAUGGGCGAAAGCCUGAUCCAGCAAUGCCGCGUGUGUGAAGAAGGCCUGCGGGUUGUAAAGCACUUUUGUCCGGAAAGAAAUGGCUCUGGUUAAUACCUGGGGUCGAUGACGGUACCGGACGAAUAAGGACCGGCUAACUACGUCG
rnacentral:rRNA from 1 species